AAGUCGUAACAAGGUCUCCGUAGGUGAACCUGCGGAGGGAUCAUUCACAUGAUUACCUUUUCAACAAACUGUGAACCUUUUAAUCUAUUCGUGUGUGUUUGUGUCGGAUGAUUUCGAUCAUCCACAUCAACAUCACACUGUCAUUCGAUGAACAUUAGAUAGCUGGCUUGACUUUUACAAAGUCUCUCUCAGCUGAUUGCUUGUAUUGACUAAACAUCUUACAACAAUCACCAUAUCAACAUAGAAACAACUCUAUGCCCUGGAUAUCUUGGUUCUC
rnacentral:misc_RNA from 1 species